rnacentral:rRNA from 1 species
GACGAACGCUGGCGGCGUGCUUAACACAUGCAAGUCGAACGGAAAGGCCCUGCUUUUGUGGGGUGCUCGAGUGGCGAACGGGUGAGUAACACGUGAGUAACCUGCCCUUGACUUUGGGAUAACUUCAGGAAACUGGGGCUAAUACCGGAUAGGAGCUCCUGCUGCAUGGUGGGGGUUGGAAAGUUUCGGCGGUUGGGGAUGGACUCGCGGCUUAUCAGCUUGUUGGUGGGGUAGUGGCUUACCAAGGCUUUGACGGGUAGCCGGCCUGAGAGGGUGACCGGCCACAUUGGGACUGAGAUACGGCCCAGACUCCUACGGGAGGCAGCAGUGGGGAAUAUUGCACAAUGGGCGGAAGCCUGAUGCAGCAACGCCGCGUGCGGGAUGACGGCCUUCGGGUUGUAAACCGCUUUCGCCUGUGACGAAGCGUGAGUGACGGUAAUGGGUAAAGAAGCACCGGCUAACUACGUGCCAGCAGCCGCGGUGAUACGUAGGGUGCGAGCGUUGUCCAGAUUUAUUGGGCGUAAAGGGCUCGUAGGUGGUUGAUCGCGUCGGAAGUGUAAUCUUGGGGCUUAACCCUGAGCGUGCUUUCGAUACGGGUUGACUUGAGGAAGGUAGGGGAGAAUGGAAUUCCUGGUGGAGCGGUGGAAUGCGCAGAUAUCAGGAGGAACACCAGUGGCGAAGGCGGUUCUCUGGGCCUUUCCUGACGCUGAGGAGCGAAAGCGUGGGGAGCGAACAGGCUUAGAUACCCUGGUAGUCCACGCUGUAAACGGUGGGUACUAGGUGUGGGGUCCAUUCCACGGGUUCCGUGCCGUAGCUAACGCUUUAAGUACCCCGCCUGGGGAGUACGGCCGCAAGGCUAAAACUCAAAGGAAUUGACGGGGCCCCGCACAAGCGGCGGAGCAUGCGGAUUAAUUCGAUGCAACGCGUAGAACCUUACCUGGGUUUGACAUGGAUCGGGAGUGCUCAGAGAUGGGUGUGCCUCUUUUGGGGUCGGUUCACAGGUGGUGCAUGGCUGUCGUCAGCUCGUGUCGUGAGAUGUUGGGUUAAGUCCCGCAACGAGCGCAACCCUUGUUCACUGUUGCCAGCACGUUAUGGUGGGGACUCAGUGGAGACCGCCGGGGUCAACUCGGAGGAAGGUGGGGAUGACGUCAAGUCAUCAUGCCCCUUAUGUCCAGGGCUUCACGCAUGCUACAAUGGCUGGUACAGAGAGUGGCGAGCCUGUGAGGGUGAGCGAAUCUCGGAAAGCCGGGCUCAGUUCGGAUUGGGGUCUGCAACUCGACCUCAUGAAGUCGGAGUCGCUAGUAAUCGCAGAUCAGCAACGCUGCGGUGAAUACGUUCCCGGG